UACGUAGGGUCCGAGCGUUGUCCGGAAUUAUUGGGCGUAAAGGGCUCGUAGGCGGUCUGUCGCGUCGGGAGUGAAAACUUACAGCUUAACUGUGAGCGUGCUUCCGAUACGGGCAGACUUGAGGUAUUCAGGGGAGAACGGAAUUCCUGGUGUAGCGGUGAAAUGCGCAGAUAUCAGGAGGAACACCGGUGGCGAAGGCGGUUCUCUGGACCGAUACUGACGCUGAGGCGCGAAAGCGUGGGGAGCAAACAGG
rnacentral:rRNA from 1 species